UACAGAGGCCUCGAGCGUUAGGCGGAAUCACUGGGCUUAAAGCGCGUGUAGGUGGACUGGUAAGUACCUUGUGAAAUCCCACGGCUCAACCGUGGAAUUGCUCGGUAUACUGCUGGUCUUGAGCCACUUAGGGGCUACCGGAACAGACGGUGGAGCGGUGAAAUGCGUAGAUAUCGUCUGGAACGCCAACGGCGAAAGCAGGUAGCUGGGAGUGUGCUGACACUGAGACGCGAAAGCCAGGGGAG
rnacentral:rRNA from 1 species